UGUUAUUAAUGAUCUUAAAUAUCAUUCCAGUAUUGUAAAGAAUCUGUUGUACCAGGAAGUCAACCUCAGAAAUUCAAUCUGGGAUGUGAAAAGCUUAUGACUUGUGCUGGGCUUGACAGUGGAAUUAUUAUCGGGAAACGCCAUGAAAAUACCCGGUCAAUUGACGGGAACAGAAAACGACAAACCAACUCUAACUGUAAUAGAUGUUGUUCCAGUCAUCUGUGUAACAACAACUUAUGUAAAGCUGAAAAUCCAGCUGUAAUUCCAACAGUCCCAGGAAACCACCAAACAUAUGCAAGAUUAUCGGGCGGAGCUAAUUCAUAUAUGGGUCGGGUUGAAGUAUUUCAUAGCGGUUAUUGGGGAUCUAUUUGUGAUGAUGACUGGACAGGGGUUAAUGCAGGAGUCAUUUGUGGAAUGCUUGGAUACAGC